UGGGGGAUAUUGUACAAUGGGCGAAAGCCUGAUGCAGCGACGCCGCGUGGGGGAUGAAGGCCUUCGGGUUGUAAACUUCUUUUGCUCUGAACAAGGCGCACCAUGGGGUGUGUUGAGUGUAGGGGUUGAUUAGCGCCGGCUAACUACGUGCCAGCAGCCGCGGUAAUACGUAGGGCGCGAGCGUUGUCCGGAAUUAUUGGGCGUAAAGGGCUUGUAGGUGGCUGGUUGCGUCUGUCGUGAAAGCUCAUGGCUUAACUGUGGGUUUGCGGUGGGUACGGGCUGGCUUGAGUGCAGUAGGGGAUGCUGGAAUUCCUGGUGUAGCGGUGGAAUGCGCAGAUAUCAGGAGGAAUACCGAUGGCGAAGGCGGGUCUCUGGGCUGUUACUGACACUGAGGAGCGAAAGCAUGGGGAGCGAACAGG
rnacentral:rRNA from 1 species